UUCCUACGGGGGGCAGCAGUGAGGAAUAUUGGUCAAUGGGCGGGAGCCUGAACCAGCCAAGUCGCGUGAGGGAAGACGGUCCUAUGGAUUGUAAACCUCUUUAGGCGGGGAGCAAUGCCGGGCACGCGUGCCCGGAGGGAGAGUACCCGCAGAAUAAGCAUCGGCUAACUCCGUGCCAGCAGCCGCGGUAAUACGGAGGAUGCGAGCGUUAUCCGGAUUUAUUGGGUUUAAAGGGUGCGCAGGCGGAGGUGCAAGUCAGCGGUCAAAUUGCGGGGCUCAACCCCGUACUGCCGUUGAAACUGCAU
rnacentral:rRNA from 1 species